GAGGAAGCCGGUGUGAGUCCGGCGCGGUCCCGCCACUGUCACCAGGGUUUUCUCCUGGCAGCCAGGAACUC
rnacentral:ncRNA from 1 species